rnacentral:lncRNA from 1 species
AAGACAUGAUGUAUGCUCUCUAAAAAUAAAAAUAAAUAGAUUCACCAAAUAAAUAGAUGGCAAUGCAUGAUUUAAAAUGAUGCAAGAUAGUAAUUAAAAUGAUUCAAGAAUUAUAUACUUAGGACUACUCAUCAGCCUCUUCAGAUGUUUGGUAUACUUCGGAAUCUUCUUCUGAUUCUUCCUCUUCUUCUUCCUCUUCUUCCACCUCUUCCUCUUCU